CGGACUCAGUUUCCCUCCGCGUGACCGCGCUCGCCCCUCCCCCUGCCCAGCCGGGAGUGUGGGCGCCUGCGCGCCGCCAAGCGCAGCUGGUGCCCGGAAUCGGGAGCCGCCCCAGGCCCCACUCUCCCGGGGGACCGGUCCUUCGCAGCCCUGAGCCCGGGACCACCCGCGCCCUCCAUCCGUCCUCAGUCCCUGGACCUUGCGGUCACCACCCUCCCUUUGUUGGCACCUGUCCUUUACCAAGCGCUCAGCAGCUUCCCGGGUUUGAUGACCUUCACCUCUGAGGAAGCCGGAAGGGAGACGCUGGAUUACUUAACGCUAGGCCACACUGCUUGUGAGAGCCGGACCGGCGUUCCUACCUACACAUCCACGAGUCUGGACUCUGCUCUUGGUCUGCUCUGCUUCCCCGAAAAGCAGUCUCCGGGCAGUAGCCCGCCGUGACUCUGGGGUUAGGUCCCAGAGACCUCUCCACAGCACUCUUGUGGCCAGCUCAGGGCACGGGGCGUGCGAGGUGCAGGGAGGGAAAACUAGGCCAGCAGGAGAAAGGAAAAGCGAGGCCUUCCAUUAGGCCUCCGGAUGAGGGCCCAGGGACGCCCACACUUUGGGGAGGCCCCCUUUCUUGCAGCUCUGCACCUGGAGCUCAGGGCCUGGGACAGAAGCUCUGCCCCGAGUGCUGGUGGCAGUGCCUGACCCGAGCCUCCUCCUCCCAGUAGUGUCCCAGGAGCCUCAGCUGCAGCUCUCGAGCUGGGUCCUGGGCCAGCGCGCCCCUCCUCUCCUUUCCUUGCUCAGCACCACAGGCCCCGGUGGGGAUAGUCCUCCCCAAGCCAUCAAUAGGCCUUGGCCCAGCCCACCCCUGCUCAGGCGAUCCGCUCCCAGACAGGUGGCCUCCACCAGGAAGCCUUUCCUGGUAUCCUCCUCCCCUCGCCUCCUACUCUGUGUUUUGGGCCCUUCCUCCUGCUACCUACCCAGUUUUGUGAUUCUCUGCCCGAGUGCCCAUCUCCCCCACCAGGCUGGGAGACCCUGCAGGGCCAGAAACAUCUUAAUCAUCUCCUCUUCUUCAUCUCUGGCCACAAGUGGGCCCAGAGGAGCCCCUGCCCAGAGCAGAUGCCUCCCCUAUUGCCUGCAGGAGCCGAAGCCAUGGAAUACCGCAAACAGGGAGUGCACGGGGGUGGGCACAGUUCUGCACGAGGACUGUGAGGCCUCCCCUCUCCCUGCCUCGGCUUCCACUCUGCGGUCCUCCUGCUCGCCCUGGAACACUGGAUGUACUUCCUGUGCAGGGGCCUUCUCUGCAGUCCUGCCCAGGGGUGAGCCUGGUCUUAUUUGCCCUUUUCCUGGAGCCAGGUAAGGCAGAACCUCCUGGGAAGAGAGGCUUCGAAGAUCAGACAGACCACGAAAAGAGGGCAGGGGAAGCCAUGGACACAGGGUGGCACGGUGUUCUGUGAAGAGUGUGGGCUUCUUCGCUGGUCGGGUGCCCCUCGGCAACAUGCUGGCAUUUUUGAGUCUCAGUUUCCUGUCUGCACAAUGGGGAUUGUAAUAUCUGUCACUGAGGAUUAGAGUAAAUGCAUGCAAAGGGCCUGGAUGUUCUUCCCUUCCACCUGCCCAUGAACUGUGGGUGGAAGUGGAGAAUAAGAGGGGAGGGGAGAGAGGCUGAGUGCUGGAGACCAGCAAAGCCCAGGCAGAGAGGAGUGGGAGCUGGGGCUGUGCCUGCCCAACGACCCUGAUACGGGUUCCCUCCAGGGUCCCAUCUUGCCCAGUUUCUCUGCCCAAUACAGCAGCACAGAAAGAAGAUGGAGCGGGGUCUGCCCCCUGGUGGGAGCUGAGGGAAAUAAACGGCUCUCAGAGCUCUCCCUGGUAACAAGUCCUCCCAAGACAGCUGACAGAGAAGAUGAGCCCUCACUCACCUCAGCUGGCGGAAGUGAGGGUUCAGACCUGAGUGUGAACAAAUGGGAAUCCAGCCUGAAGCCCACGGCCAGAUUUACAGUUCUCCCCCAAGACAAGAUCGUGCAAAAUUAGAGUCCCUUCCACAGGCGAGCCCCCUGACCCUGGCGCCCCCUUGUGGGUCCUUUUGCAGGUGCACCUCUGUUGGGUGAGGGCCUAAUAGCCUGUCUCCCUUCAGAGGUGGGUUUGGCACUGGUUCUCUUGUUCACCACUGUGCUGCUGGGACCAGCAUAGCACAUCACAAGCAUGUUCUCUCGGUUUGUCACAUGCUUUUUAUUGAGCACCUAUGUGUAUAGGGCAUGCUGGGGGGCAAGGGGAGGAGCCUCAGGCUCCCUGUCCUUGCUGAAUGACUCAACGUGAUCUGUGUAGAGGUCCUAGACUCUGGGAUCCCAGAAGGACUUGCUGAGCACAGGGCCUUGCAGAUAGUGCCAUUUGCAGUUUUUGGGUCCUUAAAAGUGGGACUAGGAUGGAGUGAGAAGUGCAGCUCCACGUAGGGGGCCCAUGGAGGGCUGGGUACUGCAUGGCAGAGGGGGCUGCCCCAGGAAAGCAAGAGGUCCUGUUGAUAGAGGUGAGGAAGAAGGCUGAGAGCUUCCUUUCUGCCCUCCUUGGCCUCCGGAUGAGCUUUGAGUCCCAGCAGGCUGGGAAAAUGCUGAGAAACAUACAUGGAAGGGCCAGCUGGGAUUCCCACCCAUUCUCCAGGAAGAAACAAAACCUCUGUUAGGACCCUCCUCUGUGGAAAAAAACCUCAUGGGUCCUACUGCCUGUGCUGGCAGGUGCAGGACCUUUCCUCUCUCUGGGCCUUGUAUUCCAACAUCUCCUGUCUCCUUCUGCCUGGGGGCCCUUGCUCCUGUCUCCUCCCCAUUCCACUUCUUCCUGUCCUCCAGAAGCUGCAGUGACAGUGGCAACUCCUACAGGAAGCCCAGGUGGAGGAGCCCAGCCUGUAGGGGGAACAGGGCUGAGUUGGGGAGGUAAUGAUGUAAACUCAGAACCUUUACCAUUGUCACAAGGGCACGUGGGCAGGUAGCAAAGGUCACAGGAAUAAGCAUGAGGUCCCAGAGGGCAGGGACUGUGUGUCCAUUUCUCUUUUGAUUUCUCUGGCUUCCACAAUGCCCUGCAUCCAUGCAGUUAAAGUCUGAGAAGGAGUUAGUUAAAAUAGCCAUGUCCUAAUUCCUGGGACCUGUAAACAUCACUUAGAAAUUAGAAAAAGGAUUUUUUUGUCAUGCAAACAUAUACCAAUAAUUUUUUUUAAAUUUAAAAAUAAAAAGGGAUUUUUAAAGAUGUAAGAUCUGGAAUGGGGGAGAUUAUAGUGGGUUACUGGGGGAGUCUAAAUGCGAUCACGUGUAUCCUUAUAAGAGGGAUCAGAGGCAGACUUUACACAGAAGGGACAGUGUGACACAUGGGACAGAAAUGAGUGGUGGAGCCAGAGCCAAGGAAUGCAGAAGCUAGAAGACUCCCCACCCCCAGCUCCCUCAGGGAGCACCCCCCUCAAACCUGCAUUUCAGACUUCUGGCUGCCAGAACUGUGAGAAAAUACAUUUCUGUUGUUUAAGCCACCAAGUUUCAAGUAGUAUAUGGCACAGCAGCCACAGGAAAUGAAUAUGUAUGGCAUAAAUAAUCACGUGUAAGUUAUAAAAAUUAUAAAGAGCCAGGUUGGGCAGGGCAUGGUGCCCAACUUCUGUAAUCUCAGCACUCUGGAGUCUGAGGCAGGAGGAUCCCAAGUUCGAGCCCUGCCUGGGCUACAUAUUGAAUUGGAGGUCCAACCAGGCUGCAUAGUGAGACCCCACCUCAGUAAACAAAACACAGGCGGAUUUAGAAGAGAAUGGAGAGGAAGGCAAGCAAAAAGGAUCAAGAUGGGGCCGGGAAUUUAGCUCGGUGGUUUCGCCACCUGCUUCGCAAGCACAAGGACCCGAGUUCGAUCCCUGGUACCAAAAAAAAAAAAAAAAGGAUUAAGAUGCAAUAUAUAUGUGCACCAGUAUGCCGUGAUGAAUAUAUUCUCAUGUAUCACAAACAUGUACUAAUAAAAUUUUUAAGUUUAUGCUGAAGACAUACAGAACAAUACUAUUAUAUGUACUUCUUACUCUGUUGUUGAUCACAUCACGUUCACUCGUAUGUCUUCUAAUUACAAAAUAAAUUAUCUACCAGAAAAACAAAAGAGCUAGGUUUUAGAACCCCAAAUUGCUGAGCUGGGCAUCAACACAGCUGCUCUUUUAGCUCCCUGGCUCUGGACAAGUUAAAUUCUCUGAGCCUGUUCUCCUGUGUGUAAAGUGGGUCCUGCAGGAAUUUAAUGAGAAAAUGCAUGUAAUGUGCUCACCCAGUGCCCAGCCUGGCCUGGCAGGUGGUGGUUACUCCAUGUGUCAGCCCGGAGCCGCUCAGAGCCAGGCUAAAAGGAGAUGCAGUUUUCUGCUUCAUGUGGGCCUUGAUACCACCAUCCAUGUUGUCUGGAAAUGGGUCAGGACUCACAGUUUCUUCCUGCUCACAAACCUGCUGGAUUUUUUGUUUUUAACUAUGAAUAAUUAUUGCUUUGGAGGGGAAGUAUGGGUGUGAACUCUAUACUUUGCUCCAGAUAUGCCUCCAUCACAGAGACAGAAAUCACACUUGGAGACACAGCCUGGUGCUGGGGCCCUGCUGAGACCUGUGGGAGGCAACAGGGCAUCUUGAGGCCUUGUCCUUCCUCUGCCACAGGAGCUCAUGUUGGGUAGGGUGCCACCCAGACCCUUCUCCGACGCCCGGGAGCAGGACAAGCUGGUUGCUAGAAUUCCUUCCAUGUUUCUAAGAAGAAAUGGCAAGGCCUUACUUAUUCUAUCCACCUGAGCUCCAAAUCUUGUUCUUUGUUGCAGAAAUGGCCCCUGAAAGUGACUUCCAUUUCAGGGCACCAACAUUUACUGUGGGCUCCUCACGGGUUAGGAAGCAGCCUUUUGCCUGAGUCUUCUUACCUCUUUCCCAGAAGUCCAAGAACUGCCAAACUACGAUAUUCACUGUUCCCACCGACCACAGUUGGUCUCUGCUUCCACCUGGCUCCCUUCAGCACCAGUGUGGACAUUCUUCAGCGCACACAGCCCGUCACACCAUGGUCCUGACCAACAUGAGCUUGCUCUCUUCUCGACUAAAGACCACACGUUUUGUAUGUUUGUGUCAGGAGCAAUGCUACAUAAUUUUAGGGAAAAAUCAUUUGAUUAGGCCUAGUUCUCCUGCCUACAGGCCAGCUAUGGCAUUUUGAGACAUAAUUCCAUUCUGGCCCCCGGUCACAACUGAGACCUCAAUGAUCCGGUGAUGCUGUGAUGCUCCAGGA